rnacentral:lncRNA from 1 species
CUGAAAGUACAUCUUUUAUAGCAGGUGAGAAGAUACAACUUUCACAAAAUGAACAAUAAUACACAGCACGUAUCCAUCUAGUACGAAUAUAUUCCUGCAGGUUUACAAGCGCUUUAAAUUCAAAUACACUUUUUUCCCUCUCACAUUUCUAGAGAGCAGGGGUUUCCCCAUAUGUUUCGGUAAGUGACAAAUGCUUUGACAAACAGAACAUAUAUACUUACACACCCAUUUCAGUCUCACAUAUAAAUAUAUUAAAGUGGAAAGACUGAAUCUGAAGUGGAAACUACGAAAGUCUGUUUUGGUAAGCGCACGUCUUUGGUUGCAAACACUCCUUGAAGGGUUUUGAAGAAAUAAGAACGACAGCGACAUCCCUUGCUUCCAAGAAAGUGCUACCUCCUUGAAAAGUAUGUGAAAGCAGGUCCAAACUUCUACUUGAUGGUUACUGCAGAAUCCUUGCAAAGAGAAGCAGCACUUACAGCGUCUUAGAAACACGUCCUUAGAGGGUCACAUCAUUUCCCCCGGUUCCACGCUUGAUUCCUCAUUCCUCUCUCGAGGCAACGCUUCUCUGGCCCAACCUGAGCUACCAAGUAUAAAAGCGUAGAUGCAAGAGUUUUAGCUGAAUUGGAAGGGCAGGCCAUCCUCUUCGGCCUCUGGCUCUUUGGAAAGAGUCCCUGCCAGGUGUGAGGACAGAGGAGAGGGCCGGGAUCUGUGUCACCUGAACAUCAAGGGCCACCUGGGCUGUUGGCGCUUUUCCUCCCUUUGCAUGGGCGGCAGGGGAGCCGCAGAGGUAAGUUUGCUCUUCUGAAACACGUGGCUUCAUCUUCACUCUGUGCUUUACGGACGCGGCGACGUGACCUGCUCUGAUGAACUUUCUCUACAUUAACUGCCUACCUGUGGGUGACACGUUUUCCCUACGAGACGCCUAUUCAAGUUGGGAGGGAAGGCCACCGAUGGCCAGAAUUUAGAGUGGAUUUCUCAUCCUCUAGAGUGGGAUUCUCUUGAGGAGAACUGGAGGCCGCUUUGGACUCGGCCGGCACUCUUGCUGUGGGUGUUAGGGCCCUCCAACUGUUUCUAGAAGCCUGGAACGGAUGCUGAGUUCUUUUUGAUUACUUGAGACUGCCUUCCUGCUAUUGAAAAGGGUGACUGCCAUGUAUACACUUUAUAGCUUCUCUCAGUCGCCAAGAAGAUACAAAUAACUUUUUAAAAUACAGUUUUACCCCAUUAACUUUAAGAGUAUUUUCCGAUAAUCAUUAUUAGGAAGACAAAUGUGUUUAAAUUCUCAGUGUUCAGUAUUCUUACUUUUACUAAGGGCUGAAGCAGUGCACACACACAUUUGUAAAAAAAAGUGUGCACACAUACGUAAAAGACAUUUUUAGGACUGUAGAUGAAUGAACCUAAAGGGUUGGCGUGAACCUUUGAACAGAAAAAUUUUCAACAUCGCUUUCUUUACAAAUGAAAUGUAAAUAUCAUCAUCUUGAAUGCCAUUUCUCUGAGUUCAAAGAUUGCAGAGAAGCAAUAUUUGCCCACCCUAACACCCGGGGAUACUGUGUUGGCUUGCCCUGCAAAUACAAGUGUCACUUGACGGAAAACAAGAGGUUCAAACCUAAACUCAUACACGUCUCAAAGAAGCACAAAGGGUGGUGACCACACUCCAGCCCCAGUAAAAUGUUAGCAUUACGGUUUAGCGGUUCUACUCCUGAUACUGUCAGAAGCCAGGAAAUAAUUGUUACCGAUUUUUUUUCUUUCAGUACUGAGACAUGUUUGACAUACAGCAUUGCGUAAGCUUCAGCUGUACAGCAGGAUUUGAUAAUGUCUUAUUGUAAAAUGAUCACAAUUAAAGUUUAGUUACCAUCCAUCACUGCACAGACCUACACAGACCUGGUUUUCUUCUAGCUGAUUACAGAUUUAAAUAUCUGCUGUCCUAGCAACCGGCCAAUAUACAGUAUUACUCGCAAACUGGAGUCACUAAGCUGUACAGUCCCUGUUUAUCUUACAGGUGAAAAAGUAUAAAAGGUAUAUGCCUUCUGCCCGCCUUCACUCAAUCCUUCCCCAACCACCCCCUCCCCCGCCCCCACCCCUUCAAGCCAAUCUCCUUUGCCAUAGAAAAAUGUUUUUGAUUCUACAUGUGAGGUCAUACAGAACUUGUCUUUUCCAUAUGAAAAAAGGAGGCCCUAGCUCCUCAAGGUCUUUCUCUCAAAUGCUGAGAUUUCCUUAAUUUUCAAGGGUUUGUGGAAGUCAUUUAGUCCGUCUAUUCUGCUGGAGCGGCUGCUUUAUCCUGGUAGGUGCUGUAUGAAGCACUAAUCUCUCUUUUCCUACAAAGGAAGGUAAGAACACAGCAUCAGAAAUGAACAUAGCUGACAAAACGGGCUUCUGAUUAAAUGCCAGGAGCCCACUUAGCACAUGGACAAUUAACAAAAAGGUAUUUAUACUAGUCAGUCACUGUACAAGUAAACAGAGGAUUCCUUUAAAGUAACUUCAAAUGCUCAACUAGUCUCACUUUUUUGACCCCUGUAUCACAUUUUCGAUUCCCUCCAAGACAAGAACCAGAGCAGUCACAUAUACUUAGUAAAUAUCCCCUUAUUUUAAUUUAGGCCAAUGGAAAAGACUAGAGAGAAACACAAAAUUUCCUAAUAUUGCAAUUAAAAUCUGGCUCUGAGCUGAAACCUUUACAAAGCUAAAGGUUCCAACAGCGUUUCAGUUCAGCGAUGCCUCAUUUCCCCUCACUGUCGGGAAACCACGUGUCCUGAUUGGAGAGUCAAUAAAGAGGCCUGGCACUGAAUCCGCCAAGACACUAGAUUUUUCUACUUGUUGAGGUCAAUACGUUUUUUUUCUCAUAGUAGCAGAAUCCCUUUUUUAAGAAACAGAAUUUUAAAUAGAAUCCAAUAUUUGAAAAAGAUUAAAUCAGCAUUAAUAUAAACUUAAAGAAACAUUCGUUUGAUAUAACAAUGAAGCGAUUUGAAUUUGAUUAAAAUGUGAAAGUGAAUUACUAACUAGGGUUGUAUUAUAUUACAACUGCAGCAGUCAUGAGAUGAACUUCAAAUGUCUACAGACACCCUGAAGCUCGUGGCCAUCUGAAAACUACUUUCCUGCUUGGCUCUGGCCUCAAAGGUACCCUUAGAGAGCCCAGCAGAAAGACAGGGCUGGGGAGGCCCACACCGCCUUCCUGGCUGGUGUGUUUUGCCUUCCCCUUGUGGCGCCUGGGAUCAAACACCACUGUGCUUUUACCAGGACACUGCCCUUCCUGUCAUUGGCCUUUGUAGAAUCUGCUCGCAAACUCACUCAGGACUAGAACCUAGGGUAGCGCCUCCCGUCGUAAGUCACGGGAGCAUCAUCCCCUCUCGUCCCGGCUCUGCAGACACACAUUCUGGCACAAAAAGGAGGCACUUCCGAUUCAUUUCAUCCAAAGACAGAGGUGGAAGGGGUUAAGUGGCUUAAGGCAAUGCCUUUCACAAUUUCUCAAAAUCUGAGGAUUUUUUGGUGGUGGUGGCGGUGGUUUCUCUUUUACAUGCUGAAAAUACCGCAGUCGAGGGAAACGCGGGUCUUGACAGGAUAUGUACCAGCUGAAAUUGAACGUCUUUACAAAAUCUGAUACAAUGUCUUUUGGCUUCUGUCCAAGAACAGUUUUUUCUUCUCUGCAGU